rnacentral:rRNA from 1 species
AGCGAACGCUGGCGGCAGGCCUAACACACGCAAGUCGAACGCACCUUCGGGUGAGUGGCGGACGGGUGAGUAACACGUGGGAACGUACCUUUUGGUUCGGAAUAACGCAGGGAAACUUGUGCUAAUACCGAAUGUGCCCUUCGGGGGAAAGAUUUAUCGCCAUUAGAGCGGCCCGCGUUAGAUUAGCUAGUUGGUGAGGU